rnacentral:rRNA from 1 species
UGGGGAAUAUUGGACAAUGGGGGAACCCUGAUCCAGCCAUGCCGCGUGUGUGAAGAAGGCCUUAUGGUUGUAAAGCACUUUAAGCGAGGAGGAGGCUACUGAGACUAAUACUCUUGGAUAGUGGACGUUACUCGCAGAAUAAGCACCGGCUAACUCUGUGCCAGCAGCCGCGGUAAUACAGAGGGUGCGAGCGUUAAUCGGAUUUACUGGGCGUAAAGCGCGCGUAGGCGACUUUUAAAGUCGGAUGUGAAAUCCCCGAGCUUAACCUGGGAAUUGCAUUCGAUACUGGGAAGCUAGAGUAUGGGAGAGGAUGGUAGAAUUCCAGGUGUAGCGGUGAAAUGCGUAGAGAUCUGGAGGAAUACCGAUGGCGAAGGCAGCCAUCUGGCCUAAUACUGACGCUGAGGUACGAAAGCAUGGGGAGCAAAACAGGAUUAGAUACCCUGGUAGUCCAUGCCGUAAACGAUGUCUACUAGCCGUUGGGGCCCUUGAGGCUUUAGUGGCGCAGCUAACGCGAUAAGUAGACCGCCUGGGGAGUACGUCGCAAGACUAAAGCUUAAAUGAAUUGACGGGGUCAUAGCUGUUUCCUG